rnacentral:rRNA from 1 species
AUUAACGCUAGCGGCAGGCAUAAUACAUGCAAGUUGAACGGCAGCACAGGUAGCAAUACCGGGUGGCGAGUGGCGCACGGGUGCGUAACACGUAUGCAACCUACCCUAUACAGGCGAAUAACCUUUAGAAAUGAGGGCUAAUACGCCGUGGUAUUAUCUUGGGGCAUCUUGAGAUAAUUAAAGAUUUAUCGGUAUAGGAUGGGCAUGCGUCCCAUUAGUUAGUUGGUAGGUAACGGCCUACCAAGGCUAUGAUGGGUAGGGG